rnacentral:lncRNA from 10 species
UGGGGAAGAGUGGUGGAAGAAAGUGCCAGGGAGGAGAAAGAGCUGCAGCCAACCAGAGCCCCCUUCCCAGGCUGUGGCUUCCACAAACUAUAGACCUUUCCAGGAGGAGAGGGGCUGAGACUCAAAAUCAGAUUAUGGCCAAAUCCCAGCUGCCAUCACAAAAAUCUUCUUCGAUGUCAAAAUUCCUGGUAUUUUACAUCAGUGCUUCUUCAGAAAGCUCAUCCCUUUCUGGCCCCCUUGUAAGGAUCUUGGACUCUGGGGAUCUUGGUCUAUUUGAUGAGUACAGUGGUCAAGGAGAGCCAGAUCAGACAGAAGCACCUGCCUGCUACCCACGGGGACAUGAAGUUGUUAACAGCAGCCUGGACUCUGCUGGCUCUAGGACAAAGCAGGAUGACAGGAUGGAGUCUCCAGCUGUGAAAGUGUUGCUGCAGACAGCCCUCAGCUUCCAGUUCUUGUAAAAAUGGCCUCAGCUUCAGAGAGCUCCAUUACCCAAGCUCAUUCAUUUCCUGGGGUGUUCUGCAUCCAGUGAGUGUUCUGUGGACUUGCCAGAACACUCACUUUUGGAACCUGGCCACCAUGUUGGAAGGAAUCCCAGAGCACAUGAGGAGGCCUUUUGGGGGUGUUCCAGCUGACAGCCUUAGCUAAGGUCUUAGCUAAUAGUCAGCAUCAACUGCUGGCAAGUGAACAAGGCUUCAGAUGAUUCCAGCCCUCAGCUUUCCAGCUGAAAACAUUGUAAAGCAAAUACAGCCAUUUCCACUUUGCCCUGUCUGAAUUCCUGACCCACAGAAGCCAUGAGAGAUAACAAAUGAUUACUAGUGCUUUAAGCCACCGGGUUUGGGAAUCAUUUCUUAUGUAUCAAUAGAUUACAGCAAAUGUCAAAAAACUAUAGAUAAAGUUAGGAUGAUAAUUCAGCACAGUUGCUAGAUACAAAAGUCAAUAUUGAAAUCAAUUCUAUUUCUAUAUACUGGCAACAUACAGAAGUCAAAUUUAAAAUUUACAAUAGUAUAAAAAUAUAAUUAUCUAAGAACAAAUAUAACAAAAUCAUAUGAGUCCUUCAAAGAGAUAAUCACAGAACUCAAUUAAAAUAUACUGAAAAAGACCCCAAAAAGGAGAUAUGCAAGAUAUAUAUUACACUCAUGGAUUCACAGAAUUAAUAUUGUGUAGAUACCAAUUACCUCAAAAUUGAUGUACUAUAUUGUACCAACCAAAUCACAAUCACUUAGUAAUGUGUUGAGCUGAUUUUAGAGUUCAUAAGAGAAUUGAGAAGUCUAAGAAUAGCCAUGGCCUUCUGGAAGAACAAGGCACAGGAGACAUCAUUUAUGAGAAACAGGCCCUCACCAGA